rnacentral:rRNA from 1 species
AAAGCGUUCGUAGGCGGCCUGGUAGGUGAGGUGUGAAAGCCCACGGCUCAACCGUGGAACAGCGCUUCAAACCACCAGGCUUGAGGGAGACAGGGGUGAUGGGAACUGUUGGUGGAGCGGUGAAAUGCGUUGAUAUCAACAGGAACACCGGUGGCGAAAGCGCAUCACUGGGUCUCUUCUGACGCUGAGGAACGAAAGCUAGGGGAGCGAACGGGAUUAGAUACCCUAGU